UACAAGUGGCGUGAGUUUGCCAGUAUAUUACCGAAAGUGGUAGUUUCAAAGUACUUCCUCUUUAUGUAGCAUUGUGUUUAUGGGAACUUGUGAUACAACAUUUUUCAUCUGUUUCUUCCAUAGAGAAGGCCUGCAUUCGUCAACAGACAUAUGCCCAAUAACUCCUGAUAUGUUGGUCAUGCUGGUACAGGAACACACUUUGGGUCAUGUUUGCACAGGAACAUAACACAAUUUAUUCAAACUUGGUUCUAUAAGGACGUUUACUUUUCUCUCGACUUCUUAUGCAGGUUUGCUGAGGAACAUCGAAUCUUACAAUGGUUAUCAUGUAAUUUUUCUCUAUCUGAGAAGUGAUUGUGUUUGUUUUAGGAUCAAGGAAGACUGAUCAGUAUAGAGAUGGCAGCUCGACACCUAUUGCACGCACAGGAAAGGUCAACUGCCCAGUCAACAUGUUGCAGAAGUAUUGUACAUUGGCUUGUAUAGAUCUCUCAUCUGACAGAUUCCUUUUCAGAAGUAUCACAAGAACCAAAUCAGGCUCCAAGUUAAGCACUUCUGGGCGUCCUACACGCAUACAGCUGGAGAGUUGGACCUCGACAUGCAAAAGACUGUUGUUAAUGAUGUUUCUUGUUUGUGGCAACCCUUUUCCAGACAGACUGUAUAACAGAUACAGAAGGUGGAUCAUUGAAGGAGAGGUCGGCUGUUUAUAUGGCGAUAGACUUUUAAUCUUGCAUGAAACUUUCCCGUGAUUUGUUCGUUCGACGCGAUGCGGUGCGGUGUCCACGCACUCGCGCCCAUCCUAACACUUGUGUUGGUGUUUCUCUGUGUGUGUGAAGAGUAUGAAUGCAUCGUGAGGGAGAACUGUGUAGGGGUGAUGCAGAAAAUGAUAAUUAUUUGCGUUUGAGGAACUAACUUCGUUACUGUGACGAAUUAGCAUAUAAUUGAGUUUCUGCAGUAACGCAGGUGUAUCACAGGUGUAUGGUAAGUACUUAUAGUGCUACAGAAGUAGUCUGUUCAUUCGACGCUUGGCACGACACCCAGGAAGCAACAAGAUCGUUGUUUAAGGACAUGGAGUGAUUCUUUUCAGAAAGAAACCCCAGAGAAGAUUGGUUGUUUGCGCUAAGGCUCUGGUGCACGUCCCCCAUUUUUUUGGCCUUCGUACUUUCGGGAGUUUUUUUUAGGGCUUGCGUGUCUGGCAAACAACGUAUGCAGCUAUUUAUGCUGUGCUUUACGGUUUGGCUUACUCGAUUACGAAAAAUCGUGAUGUUUGGUAUAUGUUUGGAUUUGGUUUGAUGAUCGUGUUUGGAUAUUGAUGUUUCGGUGUUCUAUUGCAUUUUCGAACUGCCGUUCUCGUUACGAUUGUACCUUUGGCAAAUAAAAGUCUUCCUGCGGUGUCCACGCACUCGCGCCCAUCCUAA